CUACGGGUGGCACCAGUGAGGAAUAUUGCGCAAUGGGGGAAACCCUGACGCAGCGACGCCGCGUGGAUGAUGAAGGUCUUCGGAUCGUAAAAUCCUGUCAGAUGGGAAGAAAUGCUAUAUGUCUAAUAUAUGUAUAGUUUGACGGUACCAUCAAAGGAAGCACCGGCUAACUCCGUGCCAGCAGCCGCGGUAAUACGGAGGGUGCAAGCGUUGUUCGGAAUUACUGGGCGUAAAGCGCGCGUAGGCGGUCUGUUAAGUCAGAUGUGAAAGCCCAUGGCUCAACCAUGGACGUGCAUUUGAUACUGACAGACUUGAGUACUGGAGGGGAUGGUGGAAUUCCCGGUGUAGAGGUGAAAUUCGUAGAUAUCGGGAGGAAUACCGGUGGCGAAGGCGACCAUCUGGCCAGAUACUGACGCUGAGGUGCGAAAGCGUGGGGAGCAAACAGGAUUAGAUACCCGCGUAGUC
rnacentral:rRNA from 1 species